GAUGAACGCUGGCGGCGUGCCUAAUACAUGCAAGUCGAGCGAAUGGAUUAAGAGCUUGCUCUUAUGAAGUUAGCGGCGGACGGGUGAGUAACACGUGGGUAACCUGCCCAUAAGACUGGGAUAACUCCGGGAAACCGGGGCUAAUACCGGAUAACAUUUUGAACCGCAUGGUUCGAAAUUGAAAGGCGGCUUCGGCUGUCACUUAUGGAUGGACCCGCGUCGCAUUAGCUAGUUGGUGAGGUAAUGGCUCACCAAGGCAACGAUGCGUAGCCGACCUGAGAGGGUGAUCGGCCACACUGGGACUGAGACACGGGCCAGACUCCUACGGGAGGCAGCAGUAGGGAAUCUUCCGCAAUGGACGAAAGUCUGACGGAGCAACGCCGCGUGAGUGAUGAAGGCUUUCGGGUCGUAAAACUCUGUUGUUAGGGAAGAACAAGUGCUAGUUGAAUAAGCUGGCACCUUGACGGUACCUAACCAGAAAGCCACGGCUAACUACGUGCCAGCCGCCGCGGUAA
rnacentral:rRNA from 1 species